ensembl:lncRNA LINC01347 long intergenic non-protein coding RNA 1347
GCGACGUCAGAGGCGCGGGUGUUCGCCUACGUCACUGGGGCGCUACGGUGCCUGGAGCUGGGCGGUCUUCUCGUCAGAGUGGGGACUGGUGAGAGCGACCUCCCCGCCAGGUCCUGUGUGUUGCCGGCUGAAGAAGGGUAGCUGAAAAAUUCAGACCCAGCACAGUGUUUAUGUUGGUCAAAAAUAGAAAACUAUGGCGCGGCCGAGGCGGGAGGACCCUUCAGGCCAAGAGCAGCCUAGCAACAUGGCGCAACCCCAUCUCUGUAGUCCUACCUCAGCCCCCCAGCUACUUGAACCCAAAGAUUCAAGGCUCCAGUGAGCUAUGAUCCCACCACAGCAUUCCAGCCUGCGAGAUUGAGAUGAUGAUUAUUCCCCACCUUCUAAGAGACAAAGACCAACGAGCCACCACAGCCACCAGUCCCAGAACCCGCCAAUGCUGGGGAACGGAAAAUGAGGGAGUUCAACUCUGGCCCUCACAAUCCAGUGGAGGAGACGAAACUCAUCUGCCUCUGUCCCUCUGGGCACGCCUCAUGCCAGGUGCAUCUGUGGACAGGGGCCACGCUCCUGGGCUUCCAAAGUUGGAGAAAGCUGCCAGGCUCAGGUCUGAAGGCCAGAAUUCUACAGUAAGUCCUACUGAGUCAAGGUGGGAGCAGGGUCGGUGGCUUCCGAGGCUCUGCGGGAGAAUCCGUUUCCUGGCGGUAGAGGUGGCCUGCACUCCUCAGCUUGUGCUGCCCGUCUCGAAUGACUGGAGUUUCCUGCUUCUGUCACUACACCUCCCACCCUCUCCCAUCACCUGCUCUGCUCUUACAAGGAUCCGAGUGGAGUCUUGCUCUGUCAUCCAGGCUAGCAGUGGCGUGAUCUUGGCUCGCUGCAAUGUCUGCCUCCUGGGUUCAGAUGAUUCUCCUGCCUCAGCCUCCUGAGUAGCUGGGACUGCAGGCGCCCGCCACCAUGCCCUGCUGUUUUGUAUUUUUGAGAAAUGGAAUAAUCGUAUCGCUGAUCUAUGUAAACAAAUUGAAGAAUUGUCUGAAAGAAAAUAUGACAUGAACUUAUGAAUUCAACAGGUGAAGAUUUACAACUUGAUAAAUCAGCUUUGUGAGCUCGAGCUGUAAAAGCCAAAGGUCCGGUGAUGAUCCCAUACCCUUUUUUCCAGUCUCAUGUUGAAGAUUUUUAUGUAGAAGGCCUUCCCAAAGGAAUUUUUUUUUUUUUUUUGAGAUGGAGUUUUCACUCUUAUCGCCCAGGCUGGGGGGCAAUGGCGCAACCUUGCUGGUCACUGCAACCUCUGCCUCCUGGGUUCAAGAAAUUCUCCUGCCUUAGCCUCCCAAGUCACUGGGAUUACAGGUGCCCACCACCACACGAGGCUAAUUUUUGUAUUUUUAGUGGAGAUGGGGUUUCACCAUGUUGGCCGGGCCAGUCUCGAACUCCUGACGUCAAGUGAUCUUCCCGCCUCGACUCCUGACAUCAAGUGAUCUUUCCGCCUCGGCCUCCCAGAGUGCUGAGAUUACAGACGUGAACCCAUGCCUGGCCAGGAAUUUUGUUUUUCAGGAAGGCUUUCUACUAAUGGAAUUCCUGGCCUUGAGAGGAUGUUACUUUCGAAGGAAAGGAUUUUUUUGUUAUUAAAAGAGCCACCUAAGCUGAAGAUUCCCUUGAGAACAAGUACUGUCCUGCGGUUUCAUGGCCCUUCUUCCAUUUGUGGUUCUUGCGAAGUGGAAUUUAAAUGACAUCUUAUCAAGAUGGAUAAACCCUAGUUUCCCAGUGCUGGAAUAUAGAAAAUGGAUGGACAAGUAAAUCCCACUCAGCACCCAUAGUCCAGGCAUGGGGACCUCAACACACCUGAGCCCCAGACAUCACCUUUCAUUCUGGACCUACCAUGAAAGACUUCUGAAUCCAGGAAGAGAAACUGACUGGGCAACAUGUUAUUCAGAAACAGGACCUUGCCCUGUCACUCAGGAUGGAGUUCAGUGGUCCUAUCAUGGCUCAUUAUAGCCUCAAACUCCCAGGCUCAAGCAAUCCUACCAUGUCAGCCUUCCCAGUAGCUGGGACUACAGGCUGGAGUACAGUGGCACAACCUCUGCUCACUGCAGCCUCCACCUGCCAGGCUCAAGCAAUUCUCCUGCCUCAGCCUCCCGAGUAGCUGGGAUUACAGGAAGUGACCGCACAAUGACUCAAGCUACCACAUACUGUUGAUUGUGAAAUGCCAGUUGAAGCAUAUGUCCUGCGAGCUUAGGGGUGCUACAAGUUGACCACUGCAGCAGUAAAGAUGACUCUGAAGAAUGGCGUGGGAUGGAUCCUUUCGAAUGCAUUUGAGCAGCGGUCUCCAACCACAGGGCCACAGAGCUGGAGCUGGAUCUACCAUGAAAGACUUCUGAAUCCAGGAAGAGAGACUGACUGGGCAACAUGUUAUUCAGGAACAAAAAGAUUUGGACUGUAACUUAAAAAUGAUCAAAUAAUAGUGCAUGCAUCAAGUGCAAUGGGAAGCUCUUCUGGAGAGUGAGAGAAGCUUCCAGUUAAGGAGAUGGGGUCUCACCCUGUCACCCAGGCUUGAGUACAGUAGUGCUAUCACAGCUCACUGCAGCCUUGAACUCCUGGGCUAAGGAUCCUCCUACCUGAGCCUCCUGAGUAGCUAGGACUGGUCUCCCUCUGUUGUCCAAGGCUGGAGUGUAGUAGUGCUAUCACAGCUGACUGCAGCCUCAACCUUCCAGGCUGAAGCGAUCCUCCCAUCUCAACCUCCCACGUGGCUGAGACUACAGGUGCUUGCCACUAUGCCCAACUAAUAUUUGGAAUUUUUGUAUACGUGGAUUCCAGAGGGGUGACAGCGAAACGUGGGACCAUCCAGUUGCAGGAAAACAAGCUUAACACGCCCACUGAUUCUACAUUAUGCUCCUACCUCCUGGCAGCCUCUCCAGGCCCAGAACUUUCUCCAGUCAGCCUCUACAGACCAAGCUCAUGACUCACAAUGGCCUAUUUAGGCCCAUACCCUACGUCACGGCAGUCUCCGCAGAUGAGGCUACUGCCUCACAACAGCCUCCACAGGCACAGCUCCAUCGUUACAAUGGCCUCUUUAGACCCAGCUCCUGCCUCCCAGCCUUCUCUCCAGGCCCUGAACUUUCUCAAGUCGACCUCACCAGGCCCAGCUCAUGCUUCUUUGCAGCCUCUCCAGGCCCAGCUCCUGCAUCUUGGUGGCCCCUCCAGGCCCAGCCUCUGCCUCCCGUCGGCCUCUACAGUCCCAACAUCUGUCUCACAGCAGAUUCUUCAGGCCCAGCAUCUGCCUCACUGUGGACCCCCCAAGCCAAGCUCCCAACCUUUCAGCAGCUUCUACACACCCAGCUCCUGCCACCCAGUGGCUUCUUUAGGCCAAGCUCAUGCUUCACAAGGGCCUUUCCAGGCCCAACUUUUGUCUCAUGGCAACCUUCCCUGGCCAGAUUCCUGCCUGUCUCCCAGCAGCCUAGACAGGCCCAGGUCUUGCCUCACACUGGCCUCUCUACAUCCAGCUUAUGCCUCACGGUGGCCUCUCCAGGCCCAACUCCUGUCCCAGGACGUCAUCUCCGGGCCCAAAACUUACUCAAGUCAGACUCUCUAGUCCCAACUGCUGCCUCCUGGUGGCCUAUGAAGGCCCAAAAUCUCCUCAAGUUGGCCUCUCCAGGCCCAGCUCCUGCCUCCUGUCAGCGUCUAGAGGCCCAACCUCUGCCUCAUGGGGGCUUCUCCAGGCCCACCUCUUCCUCUUGGCUGGGUCUACAGGCACAACUGCUGCCUCACAACAGCCUUUUUUGGCCCAGUUCCUGUCCAGCUCAUGGCGGCCAAUGUAGGCCCAAAACUUCCUCAAGUCAAACUCUCCAGGCCCACC